rnacentral:rRNA from 1 species
UAGGGAAUCUUCGGCAAUGGACGAAAGUCUGACCGAGCAACGCCGCGUGAGUGAAGAAGGUUUUCGGAUCGUAAAACUCUGUUGUUAGAGAAGAACAAGGACGUUAGUAACUGAACGUCCCCUGACGGUAUCUAACCAGAAAGCCACGGCUAACUACGUGCCAGCAGCCGCGGUAAUACGUAGGUGGCAAGCGUUGUCCGGAUUUAUUGGGCGUAAAGCGAGCGCAGGCGGUUUCUUAAGUCUGAUGUGAAAGCCCCCGGCUCAACCGGGGAGGGUCAUUGGAAACUGGGAGACUUGAGUGCAGAAGAGGAGAGUGGAAUUCCAUGUGUAGCGGUGAAAUGCGUAGAUAUAUGGAGGAACACCAGUGGAGAAGGCGGCUCUCUGGUCUGUAAAUGACGCUGAGGCUCGAAAGCGUGGGGAGCAAACAGG